AUGGAUCCAAGCCUCCUGAGGGAACGGGAGCUAUUCAAAAAACGAGCCCUUUCCACUCCUGUUGUAGAAAAACGCUCAGUUACUUCUGGCUCAUCAUCGUCUUCAUCAUCAUCAUCAAAGAAGAAGAAAGCAAAACUAGAACAUGGAAGUUCAUCAAGCUCUAAACAAAAUUCUGAUCAUAGCAACGGAUCAUUUAACUUGAAAGCACUAUCAGGAAGCUCUGGAUAUAAGUUUGGUGUUCUUGCUAAGAUUGUGAAUUACAUGAAAACACGGCAUCAGCGAGGAGAUACACAUCCUCUAACUUUAGAAGAAAUUUUGGAUGAAACACAACAUUUAGAUAUUGGACUCAAGCAGAAACAAUGGCUAAUGAGUGAGGCUUUAGUUAAUAAUCCCAAAAUUGAAGUAAUAAAUGGGAAGUAUGCCUUCAAGCCCAAAUACAAUUUGAAAGAUAAGAAGGCCCUGCUUAGGCUUUUAGAUCAGCAUGACCAGCGAGGCUUAGGAGGAAUUCUUUUAGAAGACAUAGAGGAAGGAUUACCCAAUUCUCAGAAAGCUGUCAAGGCCUUAGGAGAUGAGAUACUAUUUGUUAAUCGACCUGAUAAGAAGAAAAUUCUUUUCUUCAAUGAUAAGAGCUGUCAAUUUUCUGUGGAUGAAGAAUUUCAGAAACUGUGGAGGAGUGUCACUGUGGAUUCCAUGGAUGAGGAGAAAAUUGAAGAGUAUCUCAAGCGACAGGGUAUUUCUUCCAUGCAGGACUCUGGACCAAAGAAAGUGGCCCCUAUUCAGAGAAGGAAAAAACCAGCUUCACAGAAAAAGCGGAGGUUUAAGACUCAUAAUGAGCACUUGGCGGGAGUGCUGAAGGACUACUCAGACAUGGCUCCGAGCAAAUAGUAUGCAGAAUGGCCCUGAGCGGAGUUACAAAUUGUCAAGAGCUUUGUUGUGGUUGCUGUGACCUGGAGACUGAUUGCCUUCCUAGGACUGAGGAGAGCAGCAGUACAGUUUACAAAACAAAUCACCAAACUCAGAACCUGUUUGAAUGGAGUGGCUCACGAGAAAUGUGAUCCUUCCUUUAAAUUUCUUAACGUCAUGGGGGAAAGGUGCUUAUUAGCAUGGCAUGCAGAUGUCUUUGCUAUUUAUCUCUACUCAGUGGUCCCUGGUUGGUUCCAUUCUGCCUUUUAUUACUUUGGAACAGGUUUGCAGAUAAUCUUGAACACAAUAUUUGUUUAUUCCCUCAGAACGUAUUUAUAAUAAAAUCAUUUAAAAUGGAAAAAAAAAAA